rnacentral:sRNA from 1 species
GCCAGGUGCAGUGGUGCACACCUGUAAUCCCAGUAACUUGGGGGCUGAGGCAAGAGGAUUACAAGUGUAAGGCCAGCCUUAACAACUUAGCAAGACCCUGUCUCAA